AUCUCUCUCAGACACAGAGAAACUCACCCAGUGUGUAGAUGCUUGUAUACCCACAGCAAACUUAUAAGACCUUACUUUCUUUUCCUAUGAUCCUAUCUGAAUAUCUUUGCAGCCCUAAAACUACCUAACAUGCUCUGUUGCAAAACGGAAAAAGGAACUCAAAUAUUUGAUUGUAUUUUCUUUUCUGAAAAACAUGUGUUCAAAAAGAUUCCACUUUUGCUAACUCACAUCUAUUAAUAUCAAAGCAUUUGUGGGGAAAGUGACUGCUAUUGGAUAUUGAACUUGAAGCACAGGGUCCAAGCCUUGCCAAAGAGUCCUAUGACACAAAGUAGUGGCACAGGUCCUAAAAAGAAGAUGUUCCCUGGACCGUACCUACAUUGGUAACCAGUAGGGACCAGUAAUGGAGAGUCAGAGGGACUUCUCCGAAUUCUGACUUGCACAUGAUCCUGGUGCCAGGGAACCAUGCUGAGGCUAGGCAAUCCUUGAUGCAGGCUGCUGCCUGCCUGCCCGGAUCUGUCAGACUCCCCGAAUGCCCUCUGGAGCCCCACCUGUUGCCAGUGUUCCACUUGUUACUUCUUGUUGGACCUCCAUGGCACGGCCACCUGCAAACCUCCUACACCCCAUCUGCACCAUCUACCAGAGACUGCUUUGCUUAUCAAGUUAGCCUUUUUCCUCUCCCCAGUAAUGGAAUCUGCCCUCAAGUGCCCGCUCUGCUAGGAGAAAAGCAGACUGUCAAUAUUCUAGUAUAAAAGCAGGGUUCCCUAGAGAAGUCAAAGCAAAAAGGAGCCAGGCUAAUGACAUAUGGUGGCCAAAGAUGUGGAGUGUGAGAUCCUAAUCAGUCCAGAGGGUCCUGGGAUUCUUAAAGGAGCUUCAAUCCAAAAUGGAUCUGGGCCCCAUGGAAGCCUUAACACUUGUCUCCCUCCUAGACAAUAGUAUAGUGAUAUUUACGGGACUUCUAACAGUUGCACUUAGUUUCAUGAGGAGAAAGAAUAUUGAAGACACCAAGUUCACAAAUUGCCUAGAGUGGAUUUAGGGCUGGCUGAAGGACUGCUCGUGUGUCAGCCUGUGCAGCCAGGAUCAUACUCAAUAAAUGUUAAUUUCCUUUCCUUAA